rnacentral:rRNA from 1 species
GAUGAACGCUAGCGGGAGGCUUAACACAUGCAAGUCGUGGGGCAGCAUUAGGUAGCAAUACUUAGAUGGCGACCGGCGCACGGGUGAGUAACGCAUAUGCAACCUACCCAGUACAGGGGGAUAGCCCGGAGAAAUUCGGAUUAAUACCCCAUAAUGAUAUAAAGAGGCAUCUUUUUAUAUUUAAAGCUUCGGCGGUACUGGAUGGGCAUGCGUAAGAUUAGCUAGUUGGUAGGGUAACGGCCUACCAAGGCUCCGAUCUUUAGGGGUCCUGAGAGGGUGAUCCCCCACACUGGUACUGAGACACGGACAAGACUCCUACGGGAGGCAGCAGUGAGGAAUAUUGGUCAAUGGGCGCAAGCUUGAACCAGCCAUCCCGCGUGAAGGAAGAAUGCGCUAUGCGUUGUAAACUUCUUUUCCGGAGGAAUAAAAUCUUGUACGCGUACAGGACUGAAGGUACUCCGGGAAUAAGCAUCGGCUAACUCCGUGCCAGCCGCCGCCGUAAAAC